UUUUCGGCACCACCGCUCCGGCUCAGAAAAGCCCGUACGAUGGCCCUCCUCUCGAUCCCGAUGCAACUUCUCUUUCCCUCCUCUCCCGUGCCGCCGCCGCCCCCAUCUCCUGCUCCGCCGCCGCCCCCAUCUCCUGACCUCUUCUUCGGGCGCGGCCGCAGGAGCAUCUCCACCUCUCCACUCUCUCACGCAACAGCACUCCAAACCCCCACCACCACGCCCGGCUGCCGCUAGGGUUUUUUACCCUCGCUGCCCCGCCGCGACUCGUGUUGCGGGCAGUGAGGAUGGGAGCGGGUCGGUCGUGUCGCUUAGUGGGUGGAUGGUUGGGGACCGGCGGAUCCAGGCCCUGGCGUGGUCCUCUCCCUUCAACUCGCGCCGCCGACCUGGGCUCCCUCUUCUUCCACGGCCACAGCCUGGGGUUGCUGCCGGCUAGACGAAUAAUUAUGUGCAGGCUGCCACGACAAAGGGUUUGACUCCUACACCAAUCUCAUCAAGGCUGCUGUUCUUGACACUCCUGAUGUUGUUUUUCAGAGCAAUGCCACGCUAAGGGUGACAACCUGCUAUGGGGUGGUUCUCUUAUUGAACAUAAUUAUGUGAUGGAGCCUUGAUAUGUACCAUGACUUAAGUUCUGGACGUGCAUCGAGUAAAUGCAGCAGCCUUGAUGUUUGAAGUUACAGGGGCAUGGACUCUAAUUUGCAACCAUAAAGUUUAUACCGUUGUUGUGUGGGUCAGUCUGGGAAAUUUGCACAUCCAACUAUUUGAUCUGGGAAAUGCAACACCUCGCCACAGAAGGGGGCUAGCCCGUCCAUGCUCACCGGUCUGGUUGUCUGGGGGCGAGGAGGGGGUGCAGCCACGCCCGGAGGAGGUCAUCUCGGCGCCCGCAUCCUCGUCGUCUACAUUGCCCACACGACAGGUCGUCGCUGCUGAUUAGAUCCUCUUGGAAAUAGUUAAUGUAAACUCAAGUAAAAAAAUCCCAUGUUGUUUGCUGGCCUCUUUUCAAGUUUAUUCUAACUUGCUAUUGAUUAGAUCCUCUUGCAGUUGUGUUGUGUUGUUCCAUAAAUUGCAGGCUUGAUGUAUAUAUCUAUGACUGUUUUCCCAAGAAUAUCAUGCAGACGACGGCCAACGCAUUCAUGGUGGAGGAAAAGAUUGGUGUUGAUCCUAUUUGUAUGCAAAUCCUUAGAUGGAUGAAAUUCCUUUGCAUCUAAGUAAGUGGUAUGAAAGGGACGCGGAGUUCGUGAACUCGAGCACACAGGAGCUCGAUAUCUGUCCCGUUCACUACUGCGUCGUGAUUCACUGCAUUCAAUGCCCGGGACAGGCCUGUGGUCGACCAGGAAUUGGGAAAGUCAGAUAUACGUAUAGGUGCAGACCUGAAAGGUGGGCCAUGGCUCUGACGAACGUUAGGACGCCGUCCACAGAUCGGCGGAGAGCCGUGGCCCAGGUCGUCAGCGCCGUCCGGGUCUGUGGUUCAGAACGGUCUCAGAUCUGUGCGGCGGAGUGUCUGCACAGGCACACCAGGUGGAGAUCGACCACAAUCAUCUGAGCAGCCCAUAGAGCAGCAGAUUGACCCCCAGAGUGCCGGGGUGGACGUUUAGAGUCAGGAUUGGGGCUGAAGCAGGCAGGCUGAUGACCCACCUAACAUGGAGGCACCAACUUCAACCCGAUUUCUCGACAUUGGUGCUCACUACGGGGACAAGCUGAAGCUUCCCAUUACAAAGGUGAUUACCCGCUCGCCGCAGUCGCUGCAUGGGAUGAGCGGCUGUAUCUCCUUCCGUACGGUGACUAACAAUGAGGUAGACAUGAAAGACUAAAGAUGGAAGACUGAUUGUCACAGCGGAUCUGUUCGGAUUUGGAUUGGAUUUAGCAGGGUGUGGAUAAGACGAGCUGUGUUGGGAAGGUUGAUGGCUACAACGAGUCAACGACCGGGCACCAUAGAUAUACUCCGUCACGCCGUUAGCCCAGAAUCUUCUGCAAGAUGGCUCAUAUCGUCUACCUCCGUCCCGAGCCGCGCUCUUCAUGUCUAACGGGGUAACGAUUGAUGCUUGUCAGACGUGGACCAUAGGACACUAUAAUAAAUCAAAUACAGAGUUCAUACCUGGGCCUUUACUUCUUGGGUUGUGCAUCUCGAGACGAACUUGUGGCAGAGAUAACGAGCACACAGGUGCUCGAGCUCACAAAAGCACAUUUGGUAUGAAAGGAUAUUCUAAUGUUGAUGUUGCGGAGCAAAAGUUCGGCUUCGAAGAGAGAUUUACUUGAGUUUCCAUUAGAAAAACCCAUAGUGAUACAGAAAGGUUUUUGGCACAGUUUGACAUGCAUGAAAAAUUGCUACGGGUUUACUAUUGAACUGAAAGCUUGGACUGAUCCUUCUUUUUGGUAUGUACUGUUCUGUAUCACUAUGGGUUUAUUACUGUCCUCAUCCGUUUCGUAGCCUCCGGUUAGGUAAAAUAUCUAGCACAUGCGUGUGAUAGAUAUAUAGUCGACGGUGUAUCCCUUGGAUGGUUUCUACCACUAAAAGCUUCUGAUUCUUCCUCUUCGUAGUUGAUUUAGUUCAAUAAAAAACAGUCAGACACUUAACUGUAGAUUUGACCGAGCGAAUUUGGGUUCUGCCUCUCCAGGAUUAGAACUGUAGUUAUUUCCUGUCAUGUAAUAUUGUUUUCCAUCAUAUUUACUUAUUUAAAUCUUGAAUAGGGGAAUUAUAAGAAUGCAAAUUAAUAAGAGUUGUUCAUAUUUUGCUAGCAAGUACAUGCUAUUAUUAUUACGGUGGAGUUCCGAUUGCUGAAAUAUGUCUUCGACGUCUAUUUUAUUUUUUUGUUUCAGUUUACUGGAUAAAUUUUUCUUGCGUGAACUAAAACAUAGGAGCAUGCGCCAGAAGCUUGGUAUAGGCUAAAAUAUUGUGAUCAACUUCGACCAAGGUCCUGCAUUCUAUGGAAGUUGCAGUGUUGAAGCUGCUUCGACUGAUCCCUAAUAGAUCUUGACUUCACUCAGAAAAAAUAUGUGGUACGGAGCUCUACCCACAAACCUGGAUUCAAGUGAUUGGUGGCGGGUUCUAGGUUCAAUGGACAAGUCUAUCUAUAAAAAGUAGUUAACUAUAGUGUACUCCUAUGCUUUGUUAAAGCAGUGUAUGUUGGUUAUAGUGAACAAUCUUUGUAGCUGUUUUUUUUGUAAAACAUACUAAACCCUGAUGUGUUUAGUAUAAAAAAAUGCACCAUUGGCAUGUAAUGUACUAUAGUGCUAUGGAUAAUUUUGUUCUCCGAACCUAUCGAAUAUGAACCACGUCUUGCCGGGUUGGAUA